rnacentral:rRNA from 1 species
CAGUCGCCACGGUAAUACAGAGGGUGCGAGCGUUAAUCGGAUUUACUGGGCGUAAAGCGUGCGUAGGCGGCUUUUUAAGUCGGAUGUGAAAUCCCUGAGCUUAACUUAGGAAUUGCAUUCGAUACUGGGAAGCUAGAGUAUGGGAGAGGAUGGUAGAAUUCCAGGUGUAGCGGUGAAAUGCGUAGAGAUCUGGAGGAAUACCGAUGGCGAAGGCAGCCAUCUGGCCUAAUACUGACGCUGAGGUACGAAGGCAUGGGGAGCAAACAGGAUUAGAUACCCCUGUAGUCCCUGUCUCUUAUAC